AUGUAUUACGACUCAGUACGUGCGGCAUGCGGCUUGCAGGGCUGGGUUGAAAGUUUUUUGGAGCGAGCGGAGGCUGCUCUGAGUGGAUUCUUCGCUGUGUCGACUAUGUUGAAGACUACUCUGAUGUCGCAUGCUCUUUGUGCAAACGGUGUUUGCUUUGGAAAGGACAAGGGGGCGGAGUUAUUCGGAUGUUUCUCCCCUUGUGGUGGAGACAACUCAGCAUCGAUGCCUACCUUGCCCCCUAUAUUGUCUUCCACUGAGGGCGAGUCCAUGGCCGUUGUCGUGGCUCCGAUGUUGAAGAACAUGCCUGAGCUUAGGGAGCUUUGUAUGAGUCUGUCAGUGGAGAAUAUGAAGAUAGGCUCGUCGGCGACCUCAUGUGAGGAACAUGACUCCUCUUUGUCAUGUGUGCAUCUGAAGAAUGUGGAUGCGUGUGGUGUGUUGGCACCACCUUUUGAGAGCCGCUUGGUGACUGAUCGCUCGACAUCCGGCAAGACAGAUGGUUGCCUCGUGAAGAUGAAAUCAAAGAGAAACAAACGCAAGAAGUGUGAUGGCAAAGAGAAGGCAUACGUGAUUUCAUGA
rnacentral:rRNA from 1 species